CCGUAUGGCGCGACGCAUUGUGGGAUCGUUCUUCCGGUGUUCAGAGUCAGGAGUAGUGGGCCGCCAUCUGACCUGGGAAGUCCGACUUCCAAACUUGGACUGUUGGUCCCAGCUCUCCGGGAAGGUGGUAGAGGCUGCCCCUGGGAGAAGGAGCCCCUCGCGCUGAAGGAGCCCCUCGUCUGCAGCUCCAGGGCAGCCCCUGGUGAGAGCGGGCCCGGGACCCCGCCGGCCUGGCCAUCUUGGCCGCCCUGGCUGGGCAGAGAGGGGGUGACCAUGGAACGCGUGGCCGGAGUGCUCGGAGGGAGAGGUGCUCUCCUUCCCCCAGACUGGGGUGCAGUGGCGGAGGCCCGGAGGACUUCUGGGGUCGUCCCCACCGGCCUUCGGGUGAGUUCAGCUUCUCUUUCUGUCGUGUCAUUUCUGGUAUUGGAUACAAUGUCGUGCCUUUCUCUUCCACGGCGUCGGCUUUACCGAGUGCCCCUCAGGAGCCUCGGCGGCCCCGCAGAAGUCUGCGGAUGAUACAGUGUAGUCUGUGCAUACAAAUGGCGGUGUGACCGUCCACGUGUCAGUGUAGCCUGCGUACUUACACAUCCUGCAGUAGGUGGACCCGUAUAUGUCACUGCAGCAAGAAUGUGUCACUGUUAUAAAUGGACAAAUGGUAGACUUUAUGUGAAGACUUUGAUGAGGACUAGUUUCUGUCCUCAGUAUUAUUAAUUAUGCAGAUCAUUUUUCUAGUGCUGAAUUGUCCUUACACUGCUG
rnacentral:lncRNA from 1 species